AUCAGUUAUCGUUUAUUUGAUGGUACCUUACUACUUGGAUAACCGUGGUAAUUCUAGAGCUAAUACAUGCUAAAAACUCCAACUUAUGAAGGAGUGUAUUUAUUAGAUAUUUAAACCAAUAUUCUUCGGAAUUUCUGGUGAUUCAUAAUAACUUUUCGCAGCGCAUAGCUUCAUGCUGGUGCGAGAUCAUUCAAAUACCUGCCCUAUCAAGUUUCGAUGUGAGGGUAGUGUCCUCACAUGCUUUUGACGGGUAACGGGGAAUUAGGGUUCGACUCCGGAGAGGGAGCCUGAGAAACGGCUACCACAUCCAAGGAAGGCAGCAGGCGCGCAAAUUACCCAAUCCUGACACGGGGAAGUAGUGACAAGAAAUACUGAUAUAGGGUCCUAUUGGAUCUUGUAAUUGGAAUGAGUACAAUUUAAACCCAUUAACGAGGAACAACUAGAGGGCAAGUCUGGUGCCAGCAGCCGCGGUAAUUCCAGCUCUAGUAGCAUACAUUAAAAUUGUUGCAGUUAAAACGCCCGUAGUUGAAGUUUAGACUUGAUCGCCUGGUCCGCCUCACCGCGAGAACUGGUGCGAUUGGGUCUUUCUUCUUGAGAUGCUGCAUGCUCUUAAUUGAGUGUGUCAGUGAAUCAAGACUUUUACUUUGAAAAAAUUAGAGUGUUCAAAGCAGGCUUUUGCUCGGAUACCUUAGCAUGGAAUAAUGAAAUAUGACAAGUGGUUGUAUUUAUUGGUUUUCACGACUACUGUAAUGAUUGAUAGGGAUGGUCGGGGGCAUCGGUAUUCGAUCGUCAGAGGUGAAAUUCUUGGAUUGAACGAAGACCA
rnacentral:rRNA from 1 species